ACGAGGAGACAAACCGGUGUGUGUUACGGUUAUGAGUAAGUUUAAAGGCAAACUUUGUUAUCUCAGGUAAAAAAAUCACUUUUUUCAUGCCAAGCAAAGAGAAAGCCUUUCCCUGACAUGAGAUGUCCGACAAGAUCACAGCACAGUGAACACGUUUGGAUGUUGUCAGUGAGCAAACUCACGCCAGCUGGUCCACCUCCCUCCAAGAAGGCAAUGAUCUGCGGUAGGACUCCCCUGAUCACCACGGCUGUGAAGCUCUCCUUCUCUGACUCCUCGGUGAUCAGGGCUUGCAGGCAGAGCUCGUUGUCCCCUUUGACAUGAGAAGUGUCCCCUGCCUGCCGGAGGAGGACGAGACGGUUGACACAAACACAACCAGCUCGUGAACAUCUGGGGAGCCGACAGGUUCUAAAAAAGAAAGAGGGAAAAACAAUUCAAAUCAAUCCAUGGUUAGUUUUCUUUGUCCAUGAUCACUUUCAAAGAUAAAAGAGUCUACGGUCCUCAUCGGUAUUCAUGGCAGUCUGUGUUUAAUGAACCUUGAACCCUUAACGUAGCCUGGUGGAGUUUCUGAUGACAAAAACCACUCCAACUCCAAAGUAGGAUAUAUCACUGCUGAGACUACGGCAUUCUGCAUCCCCUCGACUUUACUGCAGAAGGGGAAAAAGAUAAACAACAGACAUAAAAGACAGAAGUUGGGGGGAAAAAAUACGGUUAUAAAAUCACAUGCAAACGCACUGAAAGAAUAAGAAACAGUGUCACGUUGCCUCCGUCACGGACACCUGCGCAAUCAUCGUAAGUCAUACGAGAGCUUACCCACAAGCCGCCCGUGAUCGGCGUGUCGUAGUGAGGCGUGAAGUUGAUGUCGGAGCCCGGUCCUCCUGUUGCAGCAGGUGGAGGAGGCUGCCGUCCUGAAGCACCUCUACGAUGGAAAACACCAUUCAAUCGGUGUCCUGUACACGUAUGUACGGACACCGACUUAUAACAGGAGCCGGCUGAGACAGGUUGUCGCGGCAACCUUCUGGCUUCUCCUGGUGCCUCGGUCAGAUGUUAAACGGGCCUCAACGAGAUCAGCAAAAGUAAUUUUCCCAAUUUAGUUUCAACCUUUUUUCUGCCAUGAAUUAUGUCAGCGUAUCAGCAAAGUUCCCCGAAUGUCGCCAUGGAGGCCUUUCACCGCUCAUCGCCCGCUGUUUUGAUACCACAGCGCCGACGUCGCGCUGCUCGU